GCCCACUCUACUCUAGUAUGACCUCAUCUUAACUUGAUUAUGUGGGCAAAGACCCUAUUUCCAAAUAAGGCUACAUUCACAGGCAGCAGCAAUUAAGAUCUCAACAUAUCUUCUAGGAGGACACAACCCAACCCAAUACAGAAGCGUAGUAAGUGUUACUACACAGAGGAACUAACGUGGAAAUAUGCCAGUGGAAAGAAGGGGGGAUCUAAGUUAGCUGCCCCACAUCUGUCACAGCGGAAAGCCAAGAGACAAAGACUGCAGUUGGUAAAGCGAGAAGCGAUGGUAGAAACUCACUCUUGCAUGAAGGUAUUCGAAGUGGUUCUUUUAUGAAGCCAGUCUAAGCACUUCAGUAAUAAAAAGAGGAAGAACAAACAGUCCCAACCCUGCGAAGAUGCUGUAUGGAGGUCAGGCUGCCCAACAGGCUGGAAGAGGCACAGCACGAAUGCUGCAGUCUGGGGCGCAGCAGGGGAGAAGGAAAGGAGAAAAGUUUGCCACACAGAGGAUCGGGGAGCAACAAUGAGGAAGGAAAGAAGAGACAGAAGGAAUGCCUGCCUUUAAGGCACUAGUUUCUACACACACAGCCUGCCUCAGAUAUAAUGAAACAGCAGCAAGUUUUUCAGUGAAACUUACCAGUACUGGAUAAGGAAAUUGAGGCUCAAGUUUUUCACUAACUCCCCCAAUGUCACAAGACAAAGCAAUCGAUCAGGGUUUCAAAGAGGCCUGCGGUCCUAAAUGCCACAAUGACUAUUAAACAGUGUCCUGCCCAUGAGCAAACAGGAGGGAGGAGAGAUUGAUCGUGCAUCUUUUUCAUCUAAGCUGCUCACCAAAAACAAAGCAUCUGUUGAAGCCACUGACCUUUCACUAACUGCUGGAAGGAAAAUGCUUGAUAAAUAAUAAAUAGACCACUAUUGGAUGUUGCUUAGAACCAUCUUUUAAUUAAAAGAACUGAGCAACCAGAAGGUCAGGUGACUGACAUUUAAGUUCCAGUCCAGGAAGAGCAUCAAUCGAGGGGAAAAUUGUACCCUAAAUGUAAUUUCAUUGUUAGCUCGCAUUCAACAGAAGUCCCCUCUCUGUAAUCUGUUCAGAUGGGGGGCGGUGCUGGUGACGCUUGGUAGGGGACAAAACACUUCACUUCCUGCCUCCUUCGCCUUCCCCUGGCAACCUUUUCGUUUCUGUGCUGCAG
rnacentral:lncRNA from 1 species